rnacentral:tRNA from 1 species
UGAGGUGUAACUUAGUAGUAGAGCAUGAGCUUAGCAAACUGCAGACUGGGUUCAAUCCCCAGCACCUUAA